AGUGAACGCUGGCGGUAGGCCUAACACAUGCAAGUCGAACGGCAGCACAGUAAGAGCUUGCUCUUACGGGUGGCGAGUGGCGGACGGGUGAGGAAUACAUCGGAACCUACUUUUUCGUGGGGGAUAACGUAGGGAAACUUACGCUAAUACCGCAUACGACCUACGGGUGAAAGCAGGGGAUCUUCGGACCUUGCGCGAUUGAAUGAGCCGAUGUCGGAUUAGCUAGUUGGCGGGGUAAAGGCCCACCAAGGCGACGAUCCGUAGCUGGUCUGAGAGGAUGAUCAGCCACACUGGAACUGGGACACGGUCCAGACUCCUACGGGAGGCAGCAGUGGGGAAUGUUGGACAAUGGGCGCAAGCCUGAUCCAGCCAUACCGCGUGGGUGAAGAAGGCCUUCGGGUUGUAAAGCCGGUUUGUUGGGAGAGAAAAGCAGCAGGUUAAUACCACGCGGUUCUGACGGUACCCAAAGAAUAAGCACCGGCUAACUUCGUG
rnacentral:rRNA from 1 species